rnacentral:tRNA from 2 species
AAGGAGUUAGGUUAAAAAUUUAAGACCUUUAGCCUUCAAAGCUGAGAGUGGAAGUGUUUCCAGUCCUUA